UAGUGCGUUUUUAUUUCUGAUUGAUUUUCGGUUCCAAAAACUUUUUCCUUUUUGUUCUUUUAGUUCAUUCGUUGUGUAUUCACCCAAUGCCCGUGGCCUCCACAGGGCCCGCACUUGGUGUCUGGACACCCGGUUUUCGCCAUUUUUAGGUUAAGGGUCGGAAAUAUAAAUUUGAACCGGAUUCACUAUUGCGUAUUGUAUUGUUUCUAGGCUCUCCGAAAACCACCCUCCGAGACGUUUCUUUAUUUUUUUUUCAGCUAUGGUGUCAUGUAUGGGUAUUUUCUUCUUGCUCUGGUGCCUUCCCCCUCUCGACGGAU